AUGAACUCUAAAACUGCGUUUGAUUUGGGUAUAAGUAAGAACUGCUUAUUAUAUAGAUAGGUACAAGUUGAGAUAAGAGCAGGGACUAGACCAAUUUUACGUUUGGAUGAAAAUUGGAUUAUUCCUAAGAAUUAGGUAACUGAUAUUUGAAUGGUUAGAUUGUAACUAAAGCUGUCCAAAAUAUCCGAUAUACCAUACUCGAUCCGGAUCCUACCCGGACUCUAUCCGGACCCGAAUCGGACACAAUAAAAAAUGAAUAGUAUACGGAUAAAUAAUAUUAUCCAUUAAAGUUUCGGGUAUGAGUCCGAAUAUUUUAUACCUAUAUCCGAUUUGGACCCGACCCGAACCCAACUUUUAAAUAGGUAGGGUCUAGAAUAGUUUUCAAAUCCGGACCCGAUGAAAUAUCCGUCAGUAAAUAAAAAAGAUUUGAAAUUUUGAAGUUGAGGGAUAAAUUUUAAUAGGACUUAUAUAUAGAUAAGGGGUCUCUACGUACUUUCAUCCUAAUAAAAUACUGAAAUCCUAAUCGCUCUUUUACUCUUUUUUUUAUCUAAUUUUUUUACUCUUUGUUUUUUACUCUUUAUUUUGUUUGUUUCAUUUCCGCUUAAGAGUUUUUUAUGAAACAAUAUUUUCACCGUCGUCAUCGUCAGCGAUAUUAAUCCUUUACAAGCGUGGCACAAGUGAAUUUUUUCCAAAUCCUUUCUCCAAUCAUAGUCGACAACCUAGUUUUUUUUAAUGAAUAUUCUAUUAGCAAAUUUUCUUAUUUCUCUUUAUAUUUUUGAUUUUUUUUAAUAUUAAUAUAUAAUAUUAGUAAAUACUACAACUUUUAUUCUCUUUAUCUAUA
rnacentral:lncRNA from 1 species